GUGCUCGCUUUGGCAGCACAGAUACUAAAACUGGAAGGAUACAAAGAAGAUGAGCAGAGCACCUGCACAAGGAAAUUAUUUUUAAGAAUGGAGCAUUGAAAUGUUCA